UAGGGAAUCUUCCACAAUGGACGCAAGUCUGAUGGAGCAACGCCGCGUGAGUGAAGAAGGUUUUCGGAUCGUAAAGCUCUGUUGUUGGUGAAGAAGGAUAGAGGCAGUAACUGGUCUUUAUUUGACGGUAAUCAACCAGAAAGUCACGGCUAACUACGUGCCAGCAGCCGCGGUAAUACGUAGGUGGCAAGCGUUGUCCGGAUUUAUUGGGCGUAAAGCGAGCGCAGGCGGAAUGAUAAGUCUGAUGUGAAAGCCCACGGCUCAACCGUGGAACUGCAUCGGAAACUGUCAUUCUUGAGUUCAGAAGAGGAGAGUGGAAUUCCAUGUGUAGCGGUGGAAUGCGUAGAUAUAUGGAAGAACACCAGUGGCGAAGGCGGCUCUCUGGUCUGCAACUGACGCUGAGGCUCGAAAGCAUGGGUAGCGAACAGG
rnacentral:rRNA from 1 species